UUUUUGUUGGUGUGUGCGAGUGUGGUGUCUAUGUUGACAUCAACGAAGGAACUUCUCUGACGCUAUUCGUUAGAACAGGACGAGGCGCACAGCACAGCAGCUAGCCCGGUCUGUUGUUUUUUUGCCUGGACGUGCGGCGUGUGUGCAAAAAAAGGAAAACCAGGAGCUGAAGUGUCAACUGGACACCUCGCAGAACACAAUCGGUGCAGCCGGGAUUGUCAACAGAUUGCGGAGCUCUCCUGCCUAAAGUUCAGGAGCAGGAAUUUUCAUUUCGUGUGAC